GCGAUAAGGUUCGUGGUCGAAAGGGAAACAGCCCAGACCGCCGGCUAAGGUCCCCAAGGUGUGCUGAGUGGAAAAGGAAGUGUGAUUGCCCAGACAGCCAGGAGGUUGGCUUAGAAGCAGCCAUGCCUUUAAAGAGUGCGUAAUAGCUCACUGGUCGAGUAGUCAUGCGCCGACAAUGUAACGGGGCUAAGCACAGCACCGAAGCCGCGGAUUCAUCCUGUUCUUCGGAACGGGGUGACUGGUAGGGGAGCGUUCCAUGGACCGAUGAAGGUGUACCGGCGAGGUAUGCUGGAGGGGAUGGAAGUGAGAAUGCAGGUAUGAGUAACGAAAAGAGGGGUGAGAUCCCCCUCCGCCGAAAGCCUAAGGUUUCCAGGGUUAAGGUAAUCUUCCCAAGGGUUAGUCGGCCCCUAAGGCGAGGCUGAAAAGCGUAGUCGAUGGGAAACGGGUUAAUAUUCCCGUACCUCUUGUAAUUUCGAAGGAACGACGCAUGAGGCGAUGCCCGGCCGGGCGACGGUUGUCCCGGUCCAAGCGUGCGAGCCGCUGAGAGUGGUAGGAAAAUCCGCCACUUGAGGUGAGCCGUGAAGGCGAGCGGAGCUACGGCGAAGCGAAGCGGGUAGGAGUCAAGGUGCCAAGAAAGAGUUUCUAAGGAUAGGUUACAAGGGACCGUACCGCAAACCGACACAGGUGGGCGAGAAGAGGAUUCUCAGGCGAACGGGAGAACUCGCGUUAAGGAACUCGGCAAAAUGCACACGUAACUUCGGGAGAAGUGUGGCCUGCUGUGGGAGUCAAAUCUUGAAGCAGGUUGCAGAGAAAUGGCCCAAGCGACUGUUUACCAAAAACACAGGUCUCUGCGAACCAGCAAUGGGACGUAUAGGGACUGACACCUGCCCGGUGCCGGAAGGUUAAGAGGAGGAGUUAGCGUCGCAAGAUGCGAAGCCCCGAAUUGAAGCCCCGGUAAACGGCGGCCGUAACUAUAACGGUCCUAAGGUAGCGAAAUUCCUUGUCGGGUAAGUUCCGACCCGCACGAAUGGUGUAACGACUUGGGCGCUGUCUCAACGCGAGACCCGGUGAAAUUGAAGUAUCGGUGAAGAUGCCGAUUACCUGUGGUUAGACGGAAAGACCCCGUGAACCUUUACUGUAACUUGGCAUUGAACGCUGUCUUGCAAUGUGUAGGAUAGGUGGGAGACUGAGAAGCAUGGUCGGCAGGCUGUGUGGAGUCAUUGGUGAAAUACCACUCUUUGUAGGUUAGCGUUCUAACGCGCUCCGUGAAGCCGGAGUGCGGACCAUGUCAGGCGGGCGGUUUGACUGGGGCGGUCGCCUCCAAAAGAGUAACGGAGGUGCGCGAAGGUCACCUUACACUGGUUGGAAAUCAGUGGAUAAGUGUAAAGGCACAAGGUGGCUUGACUGCGAGAGCUACAACUCAAGCAGGUACGAAAGUAGGUCUUAGUGAUCUGGCGGUAGCGAGUGGAAGCGCCGUCACUUAACGGACAAAAGGUACUCCGGGGAUAACAGGCUUAUCCUGCCCAAGAGUUCAUAUCGACGGCAGGGUUUGGCACCUCGAUGUCGGCUCAUCGCAUCCUGGGGCUGGAGCAGGUCCCAAGGGUUUGGCUGUUCGCCAAUUAAAGCGGUACGUGAGCUGGGUUCAGAACGUCGCGAGACAGUUCGGUCCCUAUCUGCCACAGGCGUUGGAUGUUUGAGAGGAGCUGCUCUUAGUACGAGAGGACCGGAGCGGACGAACCUCUGGUGUACCAGUUAUCGUGCCAACGGUAAGUGCUGGGUAGCCAAGUUCGGACGGGAUAACCGCUGAAAGCAUCUAAGUGGGAAGCCCCCCUCGAGAUGAGACAUCCCUGGCCCAAAAGGGCCCUGAAGGUACCAGAGAGAAGAUCUGGUCGAUAGGCUGGUGGCGUAGGUGCAGUAAUGUAUUGAGCCAACCAGUACUAAUCAACCGUGCGGCUU
rnacentral:rRNA from 1 species